rnacentral:rRNA from 1 species
UACGAAGGGGGCUAGCGUUGCUCGGAAUUACUGGGCGUAAAGCGCACGUAGGCGGCUCUUUAAGUCGGGGGUGAAAUCCUGGAGCUCAACUCCAGAACUGCCUUCGAUACUGAAGAGCUCGAGUCCGGGAGAGGUGAGUGGAACUGCGAGUGUAGAGGUGAAAUUCGUAGAUAUUCGCAAGAACACCAGUGGCGAAGGCGGCUCACUGGCCCGAUACUGACGCUGAGGUGCGAAAGCGUGGGGAGCAAACAGG